AAAGAACAGCCCACGCCCGUCCCCCCCAUCAGCAAGCAGCAAGAAAGCACGCCACCUCCAAGGCCCGCCCGGCCCUCCCUCCGUCCAUCCACCGUAACCGCCCCAGCGAUUACUGAUUAAUCCUGUUCUCCUCCGCCCCUCCUCCGCUCCCAGAAAGAAGUGCCGCCUGUCUCCUCCCUCCCUCCCUCCCUCUGCCCUCGCCCUCGCGGCUUAAUCCCAAUUGGGUUGGGUUGGAGGAGCAACCCAAUUGGGGAUUAAUCUAUCAGAGGAGGAGGAGGAGGAUUCGCACUCACCAUACCGAGGUUGUCUUGCUUCCUCUUCCGUUCCUGGGAUUGGCCAAGGCGCAUCCACCCACAGCUCUGCCGCAGGAGUAGAAUCAUGAAGCUGAAAAACAGUUUUAGGGAGGCCGAUCCGAUUGCCGUGCAGAGGGGCUAUGGUUUCAGGCCAAACCAACCAGCUGUUGUUCAUCAGGCAAGAUGCAGAUGGAUCAUUGGAGAUGUGACCGAGGUGUUUGAUCAUAACACAUGGAAGCUUGGCAAGAUUGCAAAGAUUGUGAAGAACGAUUACUUUGUCAUCAGGCUCGCCGACUGCAUCCAGUUGAAAGAGUUCCACAUUUCUAGCUUGAGGGUUCCACAACCACAUGAUGCUCCCACAGCUCCUCCUUAUGGCAAGCAGUUCCCUGCAGCUGACAACAAGGUGACCCGAAGGGGCAACCAGCUGCCUGCUGAUGCGCUGAGAAGAUCAGGCAAGAAGAGGAAAUCGUCCGAAGUUCUUGAUUUCUCUCCUCAGCCAAGCCAGAGAAGGCUCUUCCAGGUGGCCAGGGAAGAGGCCGCCCCCGCGGAGUGCUCGGUGGCGAGCUGCAGCGCCGCGAACGACGACGUCGGCGUCAGCAGUGGCCGGCACGGGGGCUGCUGCUCCGUGGGGCGCGGCGACGCCCAGUCGCGCGUGGUGGCGGCCUCCCCGCGCGCCGCGUGGUCGUCGUCGGACUCGGACGGCGCGCUGAGCGACGGCGGGCCGGCGGGCGUGGACGUGCACGAGCUGGAGCUGGAGGCGUACCGGUCGACGGUGCGCGCGCUGCACGCGUCGGGGCCGCUGACGUGGGAGCAGGAGUCGCUGCUCACCAACCUCCGCCUCUCCCUCAACAUCUCCAACGAGGAGCACCUCCUCCAGCUCCGCCGCCUGCUCUCCUCCUGAGCCCGAUCCUCGUCGCCGGCCCACCGCCGGCUCGCCGACGGCUUAAUCAUCACUCAUCGAGGCGACUCCGGUCCAGUCCAGUCCUGACAGACGAACACCGCAGGGCGCUGCGAAAUAACGGAGGCCGAUGUGCCGUGGAGCUCUCUGUUUUUCCUUUCGGCAAGAGAAGAAUUUUGCUUGUUCGUCCUGUGUAGUCGAUGCAGCAGCAGCAGCAGCAGCUCCAGCUCCAUUGCCGACGUAGAGAGAGCUCUGCGGGGUGAUAAGCUUGGAGUCGACCGACCGGCCGACUAGCGCACCUGGCAGUACCGAAACUCGAUCGUCCGGCCAUGCGGGCACGUGUCUGCCUCGCCCCGGCACGCGGCGCGCGGGCCACGUGCCAUGGCGCGCUCCGCGCGUCUCCUCGCCGAACGCGUGUCGACGUGAAGGCCGUUAAAGUGCGUCGGCACUGCCGCUUGCCUCUGCUCUGCUCCUGUGGUUGUCUUCUCGUGCGGUUGCGCACUGGCUUUUGCUUUUGUAGACUCUGUAUCGUCGACGAGCUCCGACCCUGGCUUAGCUCCGGGCAGCGGGUGAUGAUGUCGGUGAGCCUCGUGAGGGCGUCGCUGCCGGCUUGGUGCACGGCGGCGGCCGCGGGGAGCAGCGGCCUGCGCUCUCGCCUGCGCGGCAUGGCGUGCUCCGGUCGGCGCGUGGGCGUCCGGUGCAGCGGCACGACACCGCCGGGGUUCCCUCCGGGGCCGACGCCGCCGGGGUUCCCCGCGGUGCCGUCGCCCGAGGAGGUGCCGGGCACGGCCCGCCCGCCAGAGGAGAUGCCGGGCACGGCGAGGCCGCCGCAGGAGAUGCCGGGCAUCGACAUGCCGCCGGAGUUCAACGCGCCCCCGGGCGUGGACGUGCCGAUGCCGGGCGCGCCCGUGCCGGGCACGCCUCCCAGCCCGGAGCAGCCGGGGCCGUUCAUCCCGUCGCCGCCGAGGCCGGAGAUCCCGGCCGUGCCGCCGAACCCCGACGUGAUCCCGCCGCCGCCGCCGGAGGUGGACCCGCCGCGCGCUCCGCCGGAGGUCGUCCCGCCGCAGACGUCCGAUGUCCCGCCUCCCUUUGUGUGAGCGUGCGCGGUCGCGCCGACCCCGACGGUCACCGAGAUGUGAGAUAGCGUACUAUGUACAGUAGCUUCCAGCUUCAAAUAAAGAGGAUCGGUUGCGGCGCCC